rnacentral:rRNA from 1 species
UGGGGAAUAUUGCACAAUGGGCGCAAGCCUGAUGCAGCCAUGCCGCGUGUGUGAGAAGGCCUUCGGGUUGUAAAGCACUUUCAGCGAGGAGGAAGGUGGUGGACUUAAUACGUUCAUCAAUUGACGUUACUCGCAGAAGAAGCACCGGCUAACUCCGUGCCAGCAGCCGCGGUAAUACGGAGGGUGCAAGCGUUAAUCGGAAUUACUGGGCGUAAAGCGCACGCAGGCGGUUUGUUAAGUCAGAUGUGAAAUCCCCGGGCUCAACCUGGGAACUGCAUUUGAAACUGGCAAGCUAGAGUCUCGUAGAGGGGGGUAGAAUUCCAGGUGUAGCGGUGAAAUGCGUAGAGAUCUGGAGGAAUACCGGUGGCGAAGGCGGCCCCCCUGGACGAAGACUGACGCUCAGGUGCGAAAGCGUGGGGAGCAAACA